AUGGGAUAUAAAGAUGCUGACGCAUUUGAUGUGCGGGCUUGUGAGAAAAAAAAGUCAAGCACAAGCCAAUUUGUUGCUAUGUUGAACUGCGGGAUUUAUACAGAAAAUUUAAUAUCUACGAGGUACAGUAGUUGCUCUUGCGUUUUUGGUGAAAUUGGUCAUAUACAGAAUACUUCAUUACUAAUAAGCCUUUAUUUUUCUCUUGUGCUUCCCCGCUUAUUUAUGCAGGCUACGAAGGAGUAUAAAAAUCCCGUGGCUUACAUGACAAAUGUAACAACAUAUUUGAUUUCUUAUCUCUUUUCAAUUCUUCAUAUAUUUUCAUCUUUGCAUGCUAUCCUAAUAAGAAUUGCUGCUGCGGAAUUAUUUUUUUGA
rnacentral:rRNA from 1 species